UUCCGGUUGAUCCCGCCGGACCUGACUGCUAUCGGAUUGAUACUAAGCCAUGCGAGUCUUUGCAGUAAUGCAAGGCAUACGGCUCAGUAACACGUAGUCAACUUACCCUAUGGACGAGGAUAAUCUCGGGAAACUGAGCAUAAUACUCGAUAGAUCAUAAUGCCUGGAAUGGUUUAUGGUUGAAAUGAUUCGUCGCCAUAGGAUGGGACUGCGGCCUAUCAGCUUGUUGGUGAGGUAAUGGCCCACCAAGGCGAUUACAGGUACGGGCUCUGAGAGGAGAAGCCCGGAGAUGGGUACUGAGACAAGGACCCAGGCCCUAUGGGGCGCAGCAGGCGAGAAAACUUUGCAAUGUGCGAAAGCACGACAAGGUUAAUCCGAGUGAUUUCUGCUAAAGAAAUCUUUUGCAAGUCAUAAAACCACUAGUGAAUAAGGGGUGGGCAAGUUCUGGUGUCAGCCGCCGCGGUAAAACCAGCACCUCAAGUGGUCAGGAGGAUUAUUGGGCCUAAAGCAUCCGUAGCCGGCUCUGUAAGUUUUCGGUUAAAUCCAUGUGCUCAACGCAUGGGCUGCCGAAAAUACUGCAUAGCUAGGGAGUGGGAGAGGUAGACGGUACUCGGUAGGAAGGGGUAAAAUCCUUUGAUCUAUCGAUGACCACCUGUGGCGAAGGCGGUCUACCAGAACACGUUCGACGGUGAGGGAUGAAAGCUGGGGGAGCAAACCGGAUUAGAUACCCGGGUAGUCCCAGCUGUAAACGAUGCAGACUCGAUGAUGCAUUGGCAUAUAGCCAGUGCAGUGUCGCAGGGAAGCCGUUAAGUCUGCCGCCUGGGAAGUACGUACGCAAGUAUGAAACUUAAAGGAAUUGGCGGGGGAGCACCACAAGGGGUGAAGCCUGCGGUUCAAUUGGAUUCAACGCCGG
rnacentral:rRNA from 1 species